rnacentral:rRNA from 1 species
UGGGGAAUAUUGCACAAUGGGCGAAAGCCUGAUGCAGCAACGCCGCGUGAGUGAUGAAGGCCUUCGGGUUGUAAAGCUCUGUCUUUUGGGACGAUAAUGACGGUACCAAAGGAGGAAGCCACGGCUAACUACGUGCCAGCAGCCGCGGUAAUACGUAGGUGGCAAGCGUUGUCCGGAUUUACUGGGCGUAAAGGAUGCGUAGGCGGAUUUUUAAGUGAGAUGUGAAAACCCUAAGCUUAACUUGGGGACUGCAUUUCAUACUGGAAAUCUAGAGUGCGGGAGAGGAGAAUGGAAUUCCUAGUGUAGCGGUGAAAUGCGUAGAGAUUAGGAAGAACACCAGUGGCGAAGGCGAUUCUCUGGACCGUAACUGAUGCUGAGGCAUGAAAGCGUGGGUAGCAAACAGGAUUAGAUACCCUGGUAGUCCACGCCGUAAACGAUGAGUACUAGGUGUAGGAGGUAUCGACCCCUUCUGUGCCGCAGUUAACACAAUAAGUACUCCGCCUGGGAAGUACGAUCGCAAGAUUAAAACUCAAAGGAAUUGACGGGGUC